AUGUUCACUGCUGUCUGUACCUCUACUUAAUUACUCUCUUGUAGUGAAUUUGCUUCCUCUGUCCUCUGAUCUACAUAAUGAGUUAAAGAUAACCUCUGAGACCUGUAUAAGGUCUCUUCCAUUGCGGUGCCUGUUCCCCUUUCCAAUUCUUCUUAGAGGUGUAACUGGUUAUUAAAACAAGCUGGAAUCUUUUUUUUUCCUUUAAUGGCUAAUUAGACACCAAGGAACUUUCUAACUCACAAAGACAACAAAGCAAAUGAUCCUGGACAUACUGCAUUUUGUCACAAAUGUCUUAAUGUCACCAAAUGCAAGAUACAUAUAAACUGUGAUUUUGUACAAAUUGAUUCACAUUAUCUCUAUUUUCAAACAGUUAAGUUCAAUCAAAUAUGUGGUCCUAUCACUUGAAAUGUUGCAGUUAACCCUUACUGCAAAUCUGUGACUCACUGCCAUAAGAGGGAAAAAAAAGUGUGAUUUAUUCAUUGAAAAUGCUGUGUAGACAAACUUAUUCCUAUGAAAGGAUUUCUGUUAUAUUCAUCAUUCUUGACAUUCUGGUUCACAUUUUCCUUAUAUUUCACAAAACAAGGAUAUUACUUUUGUUCCUCACCUUGACCAUUUAACAUUAGUAUAGAAGAUGAAGGCUGACUCUGCUUUUCCUUAGCCUUGUGGGUCUAGAAUUUCACUUUAUAUUUUUAGGCUUAUAUAGUAGAAGUGCUCCCAGGUAAAGAAUGGCCCAUCUACUUUAGGUGCCAGCCAAGAUGGAUGGCUUGUCUUUGAUGAUAUAUACUUUUUCAAGUCAAUUGAGUAUCUGAUUAAUUGAAGAGGGAAAAUUAUUGUAAAAAUUGCUACCAUGCCAUUUAUUCUCUUUCUGUGUUACGUGACUUGCCUUUAUGAGAAUAAUAUUUUUGAUUUGAUUUCUACCUGUGUUGUUUUGGCUGUAACAUUACUUCUGAGACAUUUUGAUUCCACAGAAACUGGGAUUCGAUGUAUAAGAUAAACGGCAGGAAGAAAUCACUUAGGCUAUAGGAAAUAAAUAUCAAUAUAUAUGAUAAAUCAAAUUAAGAAUGUUAAUAGGGUCAGUAUGAUAUAAAGCUGCUUAUUUAUGUUAUGUAAUUAUUGAUACAUAUAAUUAUAAAAGUAAAGGUAAAUAUAUAAAGAGAAGUCCAAGUAGCGUGUGUAUUGUGUUUAUCUCAUGCAUACCUACACAUAUCCACAACUUCAUCUCCAUGAGACAGUGCUUCCUUCUCUACUUGGUCCUAAAAGCCAAGAAAAAAGCCUCACAUGUCAAUCAAUAAUUAGUCAAUACAUGAGGGAACUUACAAUUUUGUAAUAACUUUUCCAAAGUUUUCAGCUUACACUUAAAAAAAAUUAAAAGAAUAAAAUUUUCACAACUGAAAAUUAACUUUGAUACUAAGAUGAAGAUUUUUAAAAAACAUUUUCUCUCUAAUCCUAAUUUAAUAUUGGGUUUAUAUAGUUCCUUUUGAUACUAUCUCACUAACGCAACAGAUAUUUAGUGAAAAUCACCAAAGUUCUCAGCAAAGUGCUAAGUCGUUUUGUGGUUAAUUCUCCUAAUACUCUGAAAUCUUUAUUGAUUUUCAACCUUUUGCAUUGGGGGGACAAGCUCUUCCCGAGCUUCACUGAAUUCAUCAAUUGUUUGCAAAUAUCUGUGUCAUUAAAAUAUUGAGAAAUAUACACGAUGAAUCAGUCACUCACCUGGAGCAGAAAUAACCAUUUAUUCUGCAAAUGAAUGUUAACCCUAUAAGUACUGCAUCUGAACAGAUAAUGAUAAUGAUAGCUAUUUAGUAAUUAUAAUGUAUCAGGCCCUAUUGUAACACUUUAUUUCAAUCAUUUAUUUGCCUCACAAUAAUCCUGUGAAUCACCAAUACUAUGCCCAUUUGUAGAAUAGGAAGUGGAGGCAAACAGAGAUAAAAUCACUUGCCCAGGAUAGGGCAACUAACUUACACAGCCAGAAUUUAAAGUGAGGAAGUCUCUUUACUCAGGUUUCUAAGCUCCCCUACACUUAAGACCUGCACUGCCUGCUGAAGGAACAGUCUGACUCCAGUGACCACCACUUGGACAAUUGGUUCUGCUUCCCCAUAACAAUAACAUACACAGUUACCAAGAAUUCCUCUUAGUGGCAGGUCUACUGGCUCCAGCUGAGUUUGUGUCUUUGUUGUCACCAACCACUCAAAUGGCAGAUCCCAGCACCUUUUUCAUUCUGUUCUAUUGGUAAAGUCCUGGGCCAUGAUGGCCCUGGCUGGUUUGGUUGAAAUCUUGCAUCACUGAAUAUAUCCUAGGAAGUUGGGAUGGCUAAGAUAGGACAGGACUUUCUUCCCAGAACUUCUCUGAGACACCUGGUGUAUUGUGCCUUGUCCAGUGGUCUUCAUGUCAGACAGAUAUUCUGAUAAAAUACCCAGCUAAGAUUGAUGCAAUAUGGGAAUUCCCCACCUUAUCCUGGACAUGAAAGAGCAGCACACCAGUUUAGCUGGCCACCAAAACCUACAAGAAUGAUCUUGCAGAAAUAGAAAUUGCACUUCUUCUAAUGUUUGAAAAGUGGGAAUCUGAAGAUCAAACUCUGGAAAAUGGGGUAUUUCACUUAUAAACAGAUGAGAAGAGACUAUUUAUUAAUGUAAUUGCCAGACAGCAAAUGACAGAAUUGUGCCAUUGUCCUUAUUAAGAACAGAGGACACUUUAUAUAUUACAACUAAAAAUAAAACAGAUCAUCACAGAAAUCAGUGAUGCACAAGCCAAGUUACUUCUCAGCUAAUUGAAUAAAACAAAUCAGUCCAAUGAAAACACUGGUAUGACAUUUAAGAUUUGAGCUUUGUUGAUUUUGCCAACACUUUACAUUCUUCUGAAGAUUUGUUGGCUCCACCACCUGGCCUAGCUACUGAACCUGUGUCAGCCAGAAGGAUGGGAGAAUGAAUCAAAUAAAUGAGACAAUGUAGGCAGUGUCCAAAUGGGUAUCUAACUCUCCCUCCUUGAAAAAUGCUGAGUUACACAAAUGACAAGACACAAAUCACCCGACUCUGCUGGAAGAGAAGUAGGAUAGUGUGAAGCAUUUUAGAAAUCCUUCUUGCCAUAUUUUCUUUAUUCACAUUUUGCCACUUGAAAGGAAACAUUCAUGUUAUCUGAAAGUUCACUUAUGGAGAAUAUCUUUUUUUCUUAAACACAACAUACAUAUUAAUUAUCAAUCAAUGACAUCUUAAUUCUUUGCCAUUUUGAUCUUGAUGUACAUAAUUCUGAAUGGAUUAUUUAACAUAUACCCCAUUCUCAAGGUGUACAUUUUCCUGUCCUACUUUUAAAGAGUAAAUAAUUUUGCUUUCCAAAGAGCAGAGGGCAAGGUAGCUGGAGAGGUCAUUAUUUAAAGAGAACAGAAUAGGGAGUUUCCCUUGUGGCUCAGCAGUAAUGAACCCAAGUAAUAUCCAUGAGGAUGCAGGUUUGAUCCCUAGUUCCAAUCAGUGGGUUAUGGAUCUGGCAUUGCUGUGAGCUGUGGUGUAGGUUGUAGAUGCAGCUCAGAUCUGGCGUUGCUGUGGCUGUGGUGUAGGCCCCCAGCUGUGGCUCAGAUUAGACCCCUAGCCUGGAAAUUUCCAUAUGCCACAGGUGUGGCCCUAAAAAGACAAAAAUAAAUAAAUCAGAGUAAGUAAACACUACAGCAAAAUAAAUGUACAAACAUUGUUCGAAUUGCUUUAGAUGCGUUUACAAGGUCUUGGAGUAUAUCUCCAAGGAUGCUAAAAAGCACAAGUUACAGAAAAAUUUAUCUAAAUAUUUUUUCUUUAAAGUUCCCAUAACUUUAUUAUUUAAAAUAUCUGGCAAAAAACUAAUCAUGUAUAUGGAUGUGAUAUAUAUUAUGUCCAUACUUCUAGACAAAUAUUUACACAUUUAUAAUAUGUAUAAAUAUUUAUCUGUACUUAAAAUUCAUGUUUUUUCACCACCCAUAGAAAAUCUGGCAUUCCGACUAAAACCUGGAAACAUCUGCAAAGUAAUAUAAACUGGAAAAGAAGUAUAAAUUAGGUUUAGUGAAUAUUUUAGGCACCAUGACUGUUACAUGAUAUUUUAACAUCACAUAUUACCUUCAACAGGUUUUAAGUUAAAGUUAGUAGAAGUUAUAACUUGAUGCAAAUGUGUGGUAAACUCUGAAGUUAUAAAAAUUUACUUAGAAAAUUAUUUUAAUGAUUUUAUUUUUUCUAUUAAUUUUUCUAUGAACAAAUAAAAAUUCAAAUUAAUUCAGAUGGUAAAAAUUCAAUUUAUUCCAUUAUAUUGAGGUAGUAAAGACUAGUUUUUCUGUAAUUUUUUAUAUUGAUCUAGUGUAUAUGAUUACUCUAAAUCUAAAAGAAAAAAACAUUUGGUUAUACUUCAUUAACUCCUGAAAAACACAAUUCUGAUAAUUAUACAUUUCAUCAUGAAAAAAAAUCACAAAAUACUUUUUAACUUACCACAUAAGCUACAUUUGAUAAUUUUAAAAGCAUAUCAAUGAAAAGCUAGGAAAAUACAGAACAUUUAAAGAAAACAAAUAAGUCGUAAACAUAUCUUCUAAAUAGUUUUCAAUAUUUAUGGAACAGUGUAAUGUUAAAAAAUGUGGGUUCUGGCACUGGAUAACCUAAGUUAAAUUCUUAGCUCUUUUACUAAUUAUCUGAUAGAUAUGUGCUUCUUUGAGAUUAUAUAUUUGUAAAAAAGGCAUAAUAAAACUCACUUUCAUGAACAUCAUAAACUCCCUUUUGUGUCACUGGGUCUAUCUUUGUUUCUGCCUAUUGUCAUGGUGUCUUGUCUAGUUUGGCACAUUUGAAAUGGGUUUUUUAACAAAGAUUAUUAGUAAUAAUUACAAUGAAACAAUGUUUAAUGGUUUGCAUUUUCUGCAUACAAAUAAACUUUGUACUUCGGGUUUCUGCAUGGCUUUUCUAGUGCCUUGUGAGAUAUACACACCAAGAACAGUUCUUUCCUUAACACGUGGCCAAAUGUGGAUGACCCAUCCUAACCCACAUCUCUUUUUCCUGCCCCCUCUAAAUGCUCUGUGCUUUAAAGGAAACCAUGCUCCUGCAGACAGUGAUCCUGCAACCCAUGUAGCAACUUUCAGAGAAAUUAAACAACCAGGAGUGGUCAGUGCGAAAAAUGUGAAAUCUAUAUGUGUUUUAUUGCUUGGUUACACAACUUAAUAAUUCCCAUAAACUAUUUGCCAUUAAUAAGUUAAGCAUUUGCAUGUCCAAUAAAAAUUAAAUAUUAAAUUUCUAUUAAGAAAUGUGAUGGAUAUAAAACUUGCAUAAAUAUUUGCCUUGUAUAUACCAUGGGUUUGAUAGUAAUGUAACAUAGAAAAUGGAAGACAAACAUUUAUGGGAGAGGCAUUAAUAUCUACUUAACAGUUACCAGUUAGUUUUGAGAAGAUUAUGCCCCAAGACUAUAUUUAAUAUAUGCAUCCACAAAAUAUAUAUUUACAUACAGCUCUCUAAGACUAUAUUUUACAAAAUAAUUACUUCUAAAUGUAAUGCACUUUUUUAUUUUAUGAUUUCUGAUAUGCAUAGAAAUGGUGAAGCAUUGGGAGUUAAUUAUUAACUCUAUAAUGGAAAAAGUCAAUCCCAGUUAAAUAAUCAAAUUCACAGUCAAGACUUGCAUGGCUCUCAGAGUGAAAGUCUCCUUAGAAGUUAUGCCCUAAAAUACUUCACUUGCCUCACACUGGUUCCAGCACUGGUUGCUAUACUCUUCAAAUUAAAAAAUGCUAAUUCCACUAAGAGUUCAAUAUUUUCAUUCAGAGCAUG
rnacentral:lncRNA from 1 species